rnacentral:rRNA from 1 species
CCUACGGGAGGCAGCAGUGGGGAAUAUUGCACAAUGGGGGAAACCCUGAUGCAGCGACGCCGCGUGAGUGAAGAAGUAUUUCGGUAUGUAAAGCUCUAUCAGCAGGGAAGAAAAAAGACGGUACCCCUUGAAUAAGCCACGGCUAACUACGUGCCAGCAGCCGCGGUAAUACGUAGGUGGCAAGCGUUGUCCGGAUUUACUGGGUGUAAAGGGCGUGCAGCCGGAGAGACAAGUCAGAUGUGAAAUCCACGGGCUCAACCCGUGAACUGCAUUUGAAACUGUUUCCCUUGAGUGUCGGAGAGGUAAUCGGAAUUCCUUGUGUAGCGGUGAAAUGCGUAGAUAUAAGGAAGAACACCAGUGGCGAAGGCGGAUUACUGGACGAUAACUGACGGUGAGGCGCGAAAGCGUGGGGAGCAAACAGGAUUAGAUACCCCUGUAGUC